rnacentral:rRNA from 1 species
AACGAACGCUGGCGGCAGGCUUAACACAUGCAAGUCGAGCGCACCUUCGGGUGAGCGGCGGACGGGUUAGUAACGCGUGGGAACAUACCCUUUGGUACGGAAUAGCCUCUGGAAACGGAGAGUAAUACCGUAUGAGCCCUUCGGGGGAAAGAUUUAUCGCCAAAGGAUUGGCCCGCGUUAGAUUAGGUAGUUGGUGGGGUAAUGGCCUACCAAGCCUACGAUCUAUAGCUGGUUUUAGAGGAUGAUCAGCAACACUGGGACUGAGACACGGCCCAGACUCCUACGGGAGGCAGCAGUGGGGAAUCUUGGACAAUGGGGGCAACCCUGAUCCAGCCAUGCCGCGUGAGUGAUGAAGGCCUUAGGGUCGUAAAGCUCUUUCGCCUGUGAAGAUAAUGACGGUAGCAGGUAAAGAAACCCCGGCUAACUCCGUGCCAGCAGCCGCGGUAAUACGGAGGGGGUUAGCGUUGUUCGGAAUUACUGGGCGUAAAGCGCACGUAGGCGGACUGGAAAGUUGGGGGUGAAAUCCCAGGGCUCAACCCUGGAACUGCCUCCAAAACUAUCAGUCUAGAGUUCGAGAGAGGUGAGUGGAAUUCCGAGUGUAGAGGUGAAAUUCGUAGAUAUUCGGAGGAACACCAGUGGCGAAGGCGGCUCACUGGCUCGAUACUGACGCUGAGGUGCGAAAGUGUGGGGAGCAAACAGGAUUAGAUACCCUGGUAGUCCACACCGUAAACGAUGAAUGCCAGUCGUCGGGUAGCAUGCUAUUCGGUGACACACCUAACGGAUUAAGCAUUCCGCCUGGG